UACAGAGGGUGCGAGCGUUGUUCGGAUUUACUGGGCGUAAAGCGCGUGUAGGCGGCUUUGCAAGUCGGAUGUGAAAUCCCACGGCUCAACCGUGGAAGUGCAUCCGAAACUGCAUCGCUCGAGUCUCGGAGAGGAAGGCGGAAUUCUCGGUGUAGAGGUGAAAUUCGUAGAUAUCGAGAGGAACACCUGUGGCGAAGGCGGCUCACUGGCUCGUAUCUGACGCUCAGGCGCGACAGCGUGGGGAUCAAACAGG
rnacentral:rRNA from 1 species